rnacentral:rRNA from 1 species
UGGGGAAUAUUGCACAAUGGGCGAAAGCCUGAUGCAGCAACGCCGCGUGAGUGAUGAAGGUCUUCGGAUUGUAAAGCUCUGUCUUUUGGGACGAUAAUGACGGUACCAAAGGAGGAAGCCACGGCUAACUACGUGCCAGCAGCCGCGGUAAUACGUAGGUGGCGAGCGUUGUCCGGAUUUACUGGGCGUAAAGGGUGCGUAGGCGGAUGUUUAAGUGAGAUGUGAAAUACCCGGGCUUAACUUGGGUGCUGCAUUUCAAACUGGAUAUCUAGAGUGCAGGAGAGGAGAAUGGAAUUCCUAGUGUAGCGGUGAAAUGCGUAGAGAUUAGGAAGAACACCAGUGGCGAGGGCGAUUCUCUGGACUGUAACUGACGCUGAGGCACGAAAGCGUGGGUAGCAAACAGGAUUAGAUACCCUGGUAGUCCACGCCGUAAACGAUGAGUACUAGGUGUAGGAGGUAUCGACCCCUUCUGUGCCGCAGUAAACACAUUAAGUACUCCGCCUGGGAAGUACGAUCGCAAGAUUAAAACUCUAAAGUGAAUUGACGGGGUC